rnacentral:rRNA from 1 species
AGUGAACGCUGGCGGUAGGCCUAACACAUGCAAGUCGAACGGCAGCACAGUAAGCGCUUGCUCUUACGGGUGGCGAGUGGCGGGCGGGUGAGGAAUACAUCGGAAUCUACUUUUUCGUGGGGGAUAACGUAGGGAAACUUACGCUAAUACCGCAUACGACCUACGGGUGAAAGCAGGGGAUCUUCGCACCUUGCGCGUUUGAAUGGGCCGAUUCCGGAUUAGCUAGUUGGCGGGGUAAAGGCCCACCAAGGCGACGAUCCGUAGCUGGUCUGAGAGGAUGAUCGGCCACACUGGAACUGAGACACGGUCCAGACUCCUACGGGAGGCAGCAGUGGGGAAUAUUGGACAAUGGGCGAAAGCCUGAUCCAGCCAUACCGCGUGGGUGAAGAAGGCCUUCGGGUUGUAAAGCCCUUUUGUUGGGAAAGAAAAGCAGCAGGUUAAUACCCCGCUGUUCUGACGGUACCCAAAGAAUAAGCACCGGCUAACUUCGUG